rnacentral:rRNA from 1 species
ACGGGGGGUGCAAGCGUUGUUCGGAAUUUUUUUGCGUAAAGAGCGUGUAGGCGGCUGAAUAAGUCAGAUGUGAAAUCCCUGGGCUUAACCCAGGCAGUGCAUUUGAAACUAUUCAGCUUGAGCAGGGGAGAGGAGAGUGGAAUUCCUGGUGUAGAGGUGAAAUUCGUAGAUAUCAGGAGGAACACCGGUGGCGAAGGCGACUUACUGGCCCUAUACUGACGCUGAGACGCGAGAGCGUGGGUAGCAAACAG